rnacentral:lncRNA from 1 species
UUUCUUAAUGCUUAUAGGUACAACAUACAGCCUAUCAAUGGUAGUGCCAUGUGGUCCAAUACUGAUUAUACACCACCUCUACCACCCAAAAAAAGACGUAUGCCUGGGAGACCAACCAUCAAAAGAAAGACGGAUGCAAGUGAAAGAGAGGAUAGGCCUGGGAAGCAAAAUGUGAGUAGACAAGGACUAGUUAUCAGAUGUAGCAUAUGCAAGCAAAAGGGGCACAACAAAAAAACUUGUCAUAACUCUUUUCCGAAUGAAGGUUCAUCAAGUAAAGCAGAAAAAAAGAAAAAAAAGCAAUGUGCAAGAAAGAAAACUAAAGUUGAUGGUGUAUGUGAUUAAGGGAUUUAACCUCCAAGGGAUUAUGUUGACCAAUUGCAUAGUACACAACAAACAAUGGCACAAAAUGAGGCUAGAGGUCUUAAUGUUCAUCAUGAUGUUAUUUUGGAAAAAUUAAGGAAAUCUAAAGCUAGUAUGCUUAGAUGAUAUGUAGGUGCUUGCUACAGAUUAUAAGCAUGUGAAUUAAUGUUCUAACCUUUUGUUAAGCUUAUUGUAGACAAAGUGUCUCAUCUUUUGGUAAGCUUAUUGUAGACAAACUGUCUUGUCUUUUGUUAAACUUAAUGUAGACAAACUAUCUCAUCUUUUGUUAAGCCUUUUGUAAACAACUUGAUACUUUCACAUGUAAUUACAUGUUGGUUAUAAAUGUUUGGUUACGCAAGCUAAUGUAUGGUUAUUCAAGUUAGUUCUACAUGUAUGAUGUGUGCAAUUACAUGUUUACUCUUAUUUGUUGUUACAACUAAGAUAAAGCAACACCAAGAAACACACAUGAGACCAUCCCAAGGUUAAGAUUGUCCAAAAGCAAAAUUAAUUGCAGCAAAACAGAACAAAAAUUUAUAUUCUUAGCUUACUUGAAACAAAUUUAUUCAAACAACAACAUCAAGAUACAUACUUUUUCUAAACUAGUACACAUACACUAUUAAAUUGACACAGGACAUCAACAUUUUACUUGACACAUAACAUCAAUACACCUACAAUGACAAAACCCAUAACAUACCAACUAACUUUUCAUAUCCUAGACUUCUGCACAAACAACUGAAUCUCAAACUCUUUAGUCUUCUUUUUAUAUUUCUGCAAUUUUAACUUGUAUCUUCUGACCUCUUUCUCCAUUUCUUCAAGCAUUAGUUCUUGUUUCUUUAUCGUUUCCUCUUGAGCAAGAGCUUUCUAUGAACUUUAUAUAGAAGUCAACGAUACCAGGCUGACAACUCCCGAUCAACCCACUCAAAAAUUUUGCAGCUUGGCUCUGAUGUCUAGAAAUUAAAAAAAAAUACAUGGAAAUAAAUAUUUACAAAUUAUAAACACUUACAUGAGAACAAAAAUUCAGAUUCUAAACACUUACCAAAGAAUUAGGGCAAACAUCAAAUCUCCUACCUGGAAUCUCAUUGGUCUAGCUUGUUCGUCUUUUUUAUUGCUUCCUACAAGAACACGUCCCUCCUUCCUUGGAGGAGUAUCAAUCCCCCAGAUUGGAGCCCGUAGAAGAAGAUGCAAACAUGGGGAGGUAUAUUUGAGAGGAUAUUUGAGCGUCGAUGUUCAUAUCUUUAUAAUAGAACGCCCUAAUUCGAUGUUGACA